rnacentral:snRNA from 2 species
AUACCUUUCUCGGCCUUUCGGCUAAGAUCAAGUGUAGUAUCUGUUCUUAUGAAUUUAAUAUUUGAUAUGUGGUCCACUGCCAAGAUAGCUUGCUAUCUGGGUUUUCAUGAGUUGCUUAUGCGUUGCACUACUACGCGGGUCUAGCUCAUCCCAC